UACGGAGGAUGCGAGCGUUAUCCGGAUUUAUUGGGUUUAAAGGGUGCGCAGGCGGGAGAUUAAGUCGGCGGUGAAAUUUUGCAGCUCAACUGUAAAAUUGCCUUCGAUACUGGCUUUCUUGAGUGUGGAUGAAGUAGGCGGAAUUUGUGGUGUAGCGGUGAAAUGCUUAGAUAUCACGAGGAACUCCGAUUGCGCAGGCAGCUUACUAAACUACUACUGACGCUCAGGCACGAAGGCGUGGGGAUCAAACAGGAUUAGAUACCCCGGUA
rnacentral:rRNA from 1 species